AUACGGAGGAUGCGAGCGUUAUCCGGAUUUAUUGGGUUUAAAGGGAGCGUAGGCGGGAGCUUAAGUCAGCGGUUAAAUGGUGCGGCUCAACCGUGCCCUGCCGUUGAAACUGGGUUUCUUGAGAGUGCAAGAGGCGGAUGGAAUUCAUGGGGUAGCGGUGGAAUGCUUAGAUAUCAUGAAGAACCCCGAUUGCGAAGGCAGUCCGCUGGGGCACGUCUGACGCUGAUGCUCGAAGGUGCGGGAAUCAAACAGGAUUAGAUACCCUGGUAGUCCGCACGGUAAACGAUGAUUACCCGCUGUCGGCGGUAGACAGUCGGCGGCCAAGCGAAAGCGAUAAGUAAUCCACCUGGGGAGUACGCCGGCAACGGUGAAACUCAAAGGAAUUGACGGGG
rnacentral:rRNA from 1 species